AAUAGAACUGUUGGCUCAUAUGGUAACUUGAUGUUUAACAUUUUGAGGAACUGCCAAACUCUUUCCAAAGUGGCUGCAUCAUUUUGCAUUCCUACCAGCAAC
rnacentral:pre_miRNA from 1 species